UACAGAGGUCCCGAGCGUUGUUCGGAUUCAUUGGGCGUAAAGGGUGCGUAGGCGGCUGGGUAAGUUUGAUGUGAAAUCCUGGGGCUCAACCCUGGAACUGCAUUGAAUACUGCUCGGCUAGAGUACUGGAGAGGAAACUGGAAUUCACGGUGUAGCAGUGAAAUGCGUAGAUAUCGUGAGGAAGACCAGUGGCGAAGGCGAGUUUCUAGACAGUUACUGACGCUGAGGCACGAAGGCUAGGGGAGCAAACGGG
rnacentral:rRNA from 1 species